AGAAACCGUGGCAGCCCAGCAUCUCACAUUCUGACAAGGAGACCUCCGCAGUCACUGUGCUCUCUGGAAAUGAAGAGCAACCCCGACUCCCUCAAACAUCUGUCCUUCCGGGGAUCCAGGUGCAGCAACUGAGGUUCAGCUAAACGUCAACUCUGUGCGGCCGUCCAUUACUACCUUCUGCUCAUUCACCUGUACACAGCUUCCUAGGGGACAGAGCAAUACUUGCCUGUGACCCAUAAGGGGCAUUUGGAGACCUCACCUAAAAUUGACAGCAGAGAUUUACAAAUAACUAUAGUGGGAGAAGCCCAGUGCGGUUCCUGGCAUUUGCCGCACACCUGCACUGAAAAGCCGGUGCUCCAGCUCUCAGCGCAGGAUGCUCAGCACUCAACAUUCCAUCCACCUCUUUAAAUGUCUUCUGAAAACUCCAUGGUCUCCGUGAAAAUUAUGGCUUUGUCUUUCAAGCUCCAUUAAAAAAUCCAUAUUUUGAGGAAUUGUUUGAAGAUCUUUUCCCAAGCAGAAAGAUAAUAUUUUACACGAAGAAGCCUAACCCUUCUGCCGACAGGAAAACCCUGACAAUCACACUUCCAUCUGACUGAUGCUUGGAAGCCACAUGUUGCAGACUUCCAUAGAGAUCUGACCAAAACAUCGAAAAAUGUCAUUUGCCAAUUGAAGCAGAGAAUUACUAACAGCCGACCUUGCUUGUGGAGCUGGGGAAUCUUACCCAGAAAAGGCAGAAAAUAAACACAAAGCAUAUGCAUGGCAGACGCUCACAUAUAAUGACCCUGCAACAGGCAGAAUGCAGAUGUUCGGAAGACUUGAAAGAGGGGGCAGCCCUGAACAUUGACCCAACAAGGAUGAAGACCAUCACUCUGUAGGGGACACGGCUUCAGUCAUAGUGGGGUACUGCGUGCAGUCUUUCUGAUGAUGAGGUUAUGGCCCACCUGAACGGUCAUCAUCUGGAGAGAUGGUUAUAAAUACCGUCAUCCCCAAACUUCCUGAAUCAGAACGCUUGGGGGAGGGCGGUGUCCCGGGAGUGAGUGUUUCAGACAAACACCCAGACAGAUAAGUCUUUCUGUGGCACACCAAGUCUGAGAAUGACUACCGGCAGAACUUGAAGAACUUCCAUUCCAGAUGACCAGCCGGGCUCCAUUGCCAUGGCAACGUGCUUGACAGCCAUUUAGAAGCAACUUGCUCUAAUGUCACCGCUGAAUGGAAACACACUACUGCUCAGAAGUGUCCCAGGAGUCACAAUUGAAAUAAUUAAGAAGAAGUCCUGUCACCGUGUGGAGAGAUUCAAUCAGCCCCACAGACUGGUUUGCCAAGAAAACACAGAGCUAAGUACUUUUAGGAGACCAGAACUAUAUAGAAAACGGGCUUUUUGUCAUCCACGACUUUAAAUCAGACAGUCGGUUUGAAUCUAUGUUGUGUGUUUUUUUUUUUUUUAAUAAGAAAUUCAGAAUAUUAGUUCCACUAAUAUCCUGAGAUCUGUAAGGGCAUAUAAGUAAGAAAAGAAGGGCUAAAAUUAAAACUAUUUUCAAAAAAGCUAAGCUGUUGCUUUUUUCCCUCCUAUGCUUGCAAGCUCUGCCAGAGCCCAGCCUAUUUUUAAAGACUCCGGACCCACUUAAAGUGGUUUUCAGAGGAUGUGGUCACAAAUGGUGCCCAUGCUACAUCAGAUCCUGAAUAAUAGACGUGUGGAUCUGGGCAACCAUAAGAGGAAAAUUUUUUUCAUGAAAGAGCAAAUGAAGCUGGUGUGUGUGAGGUAACAGUUUUAGUAUCCACAUUAGUCCCAGAUGUUUUUCCAAAGAGACUGAGUUUUAUUUGAAAGCUGAGACAGGCUAUGGUUUCUUUGCUCUCUUGCCAUGCCCUUAGAAUAGGAAAUAGAGGCUGAUUAAGUAAUAACACAUGGAGACUAAUUAAUAUUUCAAGGUUAUCAGAAAUAGGUCAACUCCCUUUUUCAAUAAUUUGGAGGCUUGAUCAUCUUCAAUAAGCUUCAAUAAUCUCAAUGCAAACCAACAGCUUUAAAACAAGAAUGAACCUUCGGGUUCUUAAUCUUACCAAGCUGAUUAGUUCAGGUAGACAAAAGAAGGAAGAGACUCAGAAAUCAUAGCAUCAGUGUUCCCACUUAGCCUGUGUUCAAGGCUUUCCAGAACAAAGGCUACAGCUCCCUUUCCAACCUUCCUUUUGCUACUCCCCUAAUACCAGACAAACUGACUUCCCCUAUGUAUCCCCCAAGUUCAUGCCCUCCAUUGUCACCUGAGACCUUUGAUCAUGCAAUUUCCACCUUGUCUCUUUCUACAUGUCUGCCAUCUUCUCUUUCCUCUUCUCCUUGUCCCAUCCUUUGAGAAUGCCUGAGGUCCUCGUCUUCUGUCCUCCAGCUUCUGGGCUUUCUACCCUCCCUCCUGCACUGACCACCUCACCCCAGGCAGUUACUGUCACAACCCAUAAUGGGAUGAAUUGUGUCCCCUCCAAAAUUCAUAUGUGGAAGUCCUAAUCUCUAGUAUCUCAGGAUUUGACCUUAAUUGGAAACAGGGUAGCUAUAGAGGUAAUUCGUUCAGGUGAUGUCAUUCCAGUGGGUCGUAAUGCAAUAUGGCUGGUGAUUUAUGAAAAGAAUACCAUGUGAAGAAAAACAGAUUUGCAUAGAAGGAAAAUGAUGUGAAGGCACGGGAAGAAGAUGGCCAUCUUGCAAGCCAAAGAGAGAGGCCAGGAAUGGUUGUUUCCCUCACAAACUUCAGAAGGAACCAUUCCUGGCUGACAUUUUGAUCUUAGAUGUCUGGCCUCCAGAACUGUGAAACAAUACAUUUCUGUAGUUGAAGCUGCCCAGUGUGUGGUUCUUUGUUAUGGUGGCCCCAGCAGACAAAUAUAUUUUACGUGUGUGUGUGUGUGUGUGUGUGUGUGUGUGUGUGUAUUUUGA